rnacentral:tRNA from 1 species
GGCCAGAUAGCUCAGUUGGUAGAGCACACGACUGAAAAUCGUGGUGUCGUCGGUUCGAUUCCGACUCUGGCCA